rnacentral:sRNA from 1 species
GCGGCGGCGGCGGCGAGAGCGAAAGAGGAAACUGCAGAGGAGGAAGCUGCGCCGCAGCCCGAGCCGCCCGGCAUCCCCGCCGCCCCUGCGCCCGCGCCGCGCCCCCGGUGCCCCCUCCCCAGCGCGCCCCCGGCCGCUCCUCCGCGCCGCGCUCGUCGGCCAUGGCCCGGGAGAACGGCGAGAGCAGCUCCUCCUGGAAAAAGCAAGCUGAAGACAUCAAGAAGAUCUUCGAGUUCAAGGAGACCCUCGGAACGAUUAAGCAUGAAAAUAUUGUUGCCCUGGAAGACAUUUAUGAAAGCCCAAAUCACUUGUACUUGGUCAUGCAGCUGUAAGUACCUUGUUUGAUUGAUGAGUUUUGAACCAACUUGCAAACUCCCAUGUCUAAAGGGAUCAGGUGGGAAAAGAAAUGCUUGAAGUGGGCCAGGUAAGGCAGUAGGGAGCAGGGAGGCCUGUGGGAUACUAGAGAG